CGCCCCUGCCGUUAAGCGGCCAGCAGGAGGCGCCGCGGCGCGCGCGGAUCACUGGCUCCGGCCCGGGCUAACGGCAGGCGUGGGAACGCGGCGACUGAGCCCGCAGGCUGCGGCCGGCUGCGGCUGGCUGUGCUGGAGGUGCAAAAAUAUGGUUCCAGCUUCCAAGAUGUUUUCUAUUUAUAGGUCAUCUAAUGUUCUCAUGCUUUUUCUGAAAUGGUUUGCAAAUUCUGUUGGUGGAAAAAUUGCUAAGGAUGUGAAAUACCCCGAAUAUCUUGACAUUAGGCUAUAUAUGUCACAGCCGAAUGGAGAACCCAUCAUUUAUGCUCUGUAUGCAGUGCUAGUCCACGUAGGAUACAACUGCCGAGUGGACCAUUACUUAUGUCACGUCAAAGCUAGCAAUGACCUGUGGUACCAGAUGAAUGAGUCCAGGGUAUCUCCCCAGUGAUACUCGAUCUGUGCUAAGCCAGCAAGCCUACGUACUGUUUUAUAUAAGGCAUUGUCAUGAAAAAAAGCUACCAAAUAUUCUGUAAUGUUAUUUCUUUUCAUCUCACCCACAUUAAAUUGUUUUGAUUUGGGGUUUUUUUUUUUUUGAUUUUUUGGUGGCACUUGGAAUUGAACUCAGAAACUUGUACUUGCCAGGCAGGCUCUUAUGGCACUGAGCCCUUGAGUUACUUUUUGAAAACUGGAGUUUAAGGUUUACACUGCCACGUGCAUGAAGAGUCAGGAGGCCGCUUUUGAGCAUGGAUUGUGAGCUGGUGUUAGAGGUCCAGCUCUUUGGCACUCAGCGCCAGAGGCGGAGACAGGAAAAGGACCAAUGAUAUGAAAAGUGGGAGUGAAUUUGCUAGGCAUCCCACCCACUGCCAUGGCCAGUCCUCUCCCCACCGGCUCACCAGUCCUCGGGGCAUCGCUAACAAGCAGGCUGCAGCAGGGCUUCCUGGACCACAGCUUCCCCCUCACACAGUGAAGAAUUCACCCCGCUCCAGUGGGACCAGGCCACGGAAAGACCCAGCAAGGAGUUCCACACCAAGUCCCAGUGGAAGUCCCAGAGUCAAGAGCAAAAGCCAAUAUAUUCACCUACCUGUAACGUAACUCAGAAUAAGAGGAAAGGAGUUUGAAAUGCAGGCGUGGUUGCUUCGUGGGCAAACUGCAGGUGAAACCACUGCUGCAGGACUCUGCAUCAGGUGGCAGCCGCCCGCCCGCAGGUUCACCGUGUGACCGUUCAGCAUAAACGCUGCCUCCAGAUUUGCCAUCUGCGCUGUCGGGCUGCGGUGGUGACUGACUUUUGGUGACGUUCCAGCCGCAUCACGGUGUGACCAUUCCUCAGUUUACACGGUUGUUGGAUUCCUGGGGAGUGUAGUGUCCGUGAAAACUGUGGCAGUAACACGACUGGGAUUUUCACCCAUGGGUGUGAGGACGUGCAGGGGAGGAGCCUCCUCCUGGCACUGCGCAGCCCAGAUGGCCCCUGAGACCCUGAGUCAGGGUGCAGAACUGUUAAGAGUGAAGAGGCAGAGAACGCUCACUCCCACUUGACCUUAAGAUAGAGCAGCGGGGCUGCGCUGUCAUUUCACAGUGAUCUUCCCCGGUUUCUUUCCUAACCCACCCUGGUCCCCAAAUUCAGUGUGCAAGAGAGUAAUUACACAUUUGUGUAAAUGAGGCCAUGUAUGUACUGCAGCCAAGCACGCCUUCCUUUGCGUGUGGCCCCAAGAACCCCGCUUCUACUCUCAGGACAACGAACUUCCCCGUGGGGACUGGGGACAGGUUAUCUCCUCACUGAAGAGCCGAGAUCCAGGCGGGUGAUUGAUUGUUUCCUGGCAGCUGGCAGCUAACCUUGAGAGUGUGUCAGAAGCUUUCCAGCUGCCAACGGCAGCCUGCAGUUCCUGCAGAAGGUUUCCCCAGAGCCUCAGUGAGUCCCUGUUUUCCACGAUUCAAGGAGCUGUUGGCUCUGUCUGGAAAUAGCUGCUCUGCUUCUGAGGCUCCAAGAGGAAGAAGGGAGCCAGAAAAGUCAGCAGUCCGUGAUUCGGCUGUUUGUUUAGACUUAAUUUUUAAGAAUUAGACAUGCAUCUGGAAAUAGGAAAAGUCUAGAGGUGCAGAAUUAUUGUUGCUGAAAAACAGGAUUGAUACAUUUAUUUCUAUUUAAUGAGAAAAUUUGGUGUCUAGAGAUGAUAGCCUGAUAGUGACUUGUGGCCGGCUAUAUUUAAAGUGAUAAAAUAUUUAGUAAAUGUAAGCCAUGGCAAAACCUGUAUAGCAGUCAUGCUAACUAUUGGCUUGUCUCUUUCUUUCGGCGGGGAUGCAGUCCACCUGGAACAGGGCAGAACCCAACAGGGGACCUCACUGUGGUGCUUGAGGCUGGCAGCCCCACUCCUGGUUGGCAUGAGAAACUGGACCCAAUCACAAAUCUGUGCAGCCAGUUUACGGAGGCUUUCCUACCCCCUGACAGCAGUCUCAUGCUACCAAAGUUGUCUUAGAAAACAGCUCAGCCAAACCUGAUGAGUCUUUGCCCAUCACAAACCUUCAUAGCACCAACAAGAUGUGCAUGGGGGUGGAUCCACUUCCUGAACCCUGUGAUGCUCAGCAGGCAACACAGGACUGCAGCGAAACCCCCCAGGAGGUCAAAACUUUGCUAUCCAAGAGCCUACAGGACUCUGGUCCAGCAGAGACAGUGGAACAGCUGAGCCUGGCUCCCUCCACACAUCCAAAAGGUGAACAUGAGCCCGAGCUCAUGGUUUUCCCUCAGUGGAGACCAGAGUGGUGACACAGAAGCUCUAUCCCAGAGCACAGGUGAAUCUGCCAACAGGCUGCCCUCUGCUCAGCCACACAGGACCCCAGGUGCCCAUCCUGAUGGUCCUGAGCACAGUCACGGAGAGAGGUGCCGUGAAGGUAAGGCUGUCCAGAAUGUUCUGGAUCGCCCUCCCGUUAAAGAGAAAAUUGGCAACCUUAGGAAAGUUGACUGAGGAUAGUACCAUAACUGUUGAGACUGCUCCUCCAGUGGGGAACACAUGCAGAAAAGUUGGAGUUGGAGCAGGACUGAGGGUCAUUGGCACAGAAAGCGGUGCCAGAAAGCACACCAAGCAGGAGUGCUGCACUGUGCUGCCCUGCAACAGGAGCAGGAACCCUCUGUGCUAUGGGGAGAGUCAGUCACAGCAAGCACUGCAGUCUGGGAAGGUUCAGCUUCCACCACUCCCAAACCAGGAGAGGGGCUGAGCAAGACUGCAGGUACUACCCUGACAGGCACAUCCGGUACUCAGGCAGGGAGCCAGUGUGAAGCCGCCACACAAGGAGAAGAAAAGGAAGAAAAAAAAAGAAGAGACACUGGGAAGAAAUCAGAAGAUUUUGCAAUAGAAGCAGGACUGCACUUACAGAAGGCCUCAAUCUAUGGGACCACUAACUGUUUCCAGAGACUCGAGGGCAGCUUCCUGCCCACCGAUGGCCUGGCUGUGGAGGGCAUUGGAUCUUUCCGAAAGAAGCAUUUGAGAAUGGAGAGCAGGGCCAAUAAGAGCCACGUGUUGGAGUAUAGCCAGGGUAAAAGGAGAUUUUUGGAACUGAGAGAAAAAACACUCUUGACAAGGUUUUUUGAAGUGGUGACUAACACAUAGAGAUGGAACCUGAAGUGGCCUCAAGGGUGCGCGAGUGACACAGGGCUCCUGCCUCGUCCACCUCGACUCCCAGGCCCUGAGUGACUCAUUGUAGUUUGGGUGCCUGACACUGAUCCCUAGCACCAAAGGAUGGUUACGUGGAAGUGGAAUUUAUGACCCUGGAAUUUAGGCACUCUGGGUGUCUGAGUAUGUGCUCCCAAGACAGAACUUUUGUGUUUUUCAUGUAUUUUGGAACCCUGAGAAACUUGUUAAGAAUGAAAGUGACGGGAGUUGGGGCCGGGGCACAGGUUGACAAGCUGCGUCUCGAAGGCCAAAGCCAACCCUGUGCCUGUCACUCAUCACCUGUGAGUAACAAUGGCUUUCGUGUUUUCAAAACUUCCAAAGAGCAGCAGCACUUUGCUUCCCCUGAACGAUGUGUGAAAUCCAAAUGUCAGUGUCUGUAGACUUUGGCUGAAGCGUGCAGUGGUCUGUGUGAGGUUGGUGCUCCUGACAGAAGGGAGUCGUCACCGCUGAGACCGCACAGCCCACCACACUCAGUGUUUGUCAGCCGUCCCUUCACAGGGAAGAAACUUAGCCAGGCCCUGCCCUAGACACUGAGGGUCACGUUCUUGAGUAAAGGCCAUGCACAUCAGUGCAGGGAUUGUGACACAUCACCUCGGUUGCCCCGAGGCCUUUUGGGUCCUCAGUGGUUGAAAUGUGUUCUCUUGGGGAGGCCCAGGCAGGGCCAGGCUCCUGCCUUCCGCAGACCGGGAUCUGUGUGCAGCUCUGACAGUUGUGAAGAGAAGCGGGCUCCAGGAAGGCUGAGGCCACCACAGGGAGCACAGCAGACUCUGCUGCUGCCAGGACUGGAAGGAGGCAGUGUAGCAUUUGCUCUUCGCGAUAGGAGACUGUACAUGCGCAGAGUGGUUUCACAUUAAUAGUUCAGCGAUUUGCAGAAGGGAUGGGUGUUUCUGACCUCGGUGUACUACCUGAGGAUCGGGUAGUGACACAGAUUUGGUCUGUGUGUUGGGCAGGGUUCCCACAUUGUCAGAAUCCCUCAUCCUGGCAGGGCAGGUCACCCAUCUGGGGACAGCAGCCUCCACAGUGUUGGCAUGGCAUUCAGGGCCAAGUCCACUCAGCCACUGCAGGUGCUGCAGUCAGGUCGUGUCUGAGUGGUGGCCCAUUCUGUCCCCAGUACAGGACCACUGAUGACUGGUUUGCAGCCAGCACUUCUGCCAGGAGCACAGACCAAGGGCCCUUGGACUCCGGGCCUCCUGAGAGGGAGCCUGGCUGAGGCCAGCACUCUGCCAUCUUCUGUGCACUUGUGCUCCUGUGUCCUGACCUUUGACCACUCACCUUUCUCCUGCAAACCCCUGACCUCUGGCUCCAUUCAAAUCCAGUUAAUUUCUUUGGCCUGGCCUGAAGUCCAUUCCAUCCUCCUGUGAGAACUCAGCAGUGUGAUGGGGCGGGUGUGGCCUGUUCCCUAGCUACAAGCUCUGGACAUCUUCCAUGGGACCAAAGGCCCUCAUCAUCAUGAGAACUCGCUUUCCUCUCAGGAGGACCUUUGCAGCAGGGGCUGUGUGCCAACCUGUACUUGCUCAGCCUGAUAUGGGAUUGAUCACAGGUAGCCAGUGUUAAAUUGCAAAAAAAACCUGUUUCAUUGUAACCAUGUAAUGCAUACUCAGAGCAGACACCACAGAUUGUACAAAGUCAUUAAAAGGUUUCUUAAGGAUUGCCUUCUUAAUAAAACAAAAAAUUCACAAGUUAAGGUAAGCACUUUUCUUGUCUGUUCAUCUUCUUUGUAGAAGCACAGAGAGGGACAGAGAAGGGACUGAAAACCUAAUUCCCUGGGGUUGAGCUGUGGAAACAGCAGCAGGGGUGGUGGUCACUGAACUCCAAACCAGCACUGGAGAGCGCAGAGAGUGGGGAGACCUCUUUUCCCAGUCAGCUUUCCAAGGGCAGCCUCGGCAAGGGAAGGACAGGCCUGUUUCCUCCCUCCUCCCUCGCUGGAAGAAGCCAUCAGGCUCCCCAUCUGAAUCAGCAGUCAUUGGAUAAGCAUCUGGGAUGAGAAGCCCAUGUCUGUCCCCUACCCAGGCAGCAGAGCCCAUCCCAGGAGCUCAGCGCCUAGGCCUAGAGGUCACGCUGAGGCUGGGUCACAGCCCUCACCUGACACGGCCGCUCUGUUGGGAUGAGGUCCGAGUGUCUUAGAGCAGAGCCUUCAUGGUGUCCAGGCUGUGUCUGAAUCACUUGUAUUCUGUGGUCCUGGAAGGUGGGGACUUGUGUUUCAUGCUGUGCACUUGUGGAGGUAAAGGGAGUGGUGAACCAUUUAAGCCACGAAAGCAAACUGUUCCUGUGUCUCAUACCCAAUUGCAAGGGUGAUUUCAAAUGAACUUCAAGGCAAAUUAUCUAUAGAAGAUCAGUAUACAGUUAAUUAACAUGCUUUAUCUGUGUGUCCUCAAGGGAAAGCACUAACUCUGAGGAACUAAACUCUCCUUGAGGACUGGGAAGGCUUAGCCACAGUUGGGGUUCAGGCUGGGCGGGUGCAGCAGGGCCCAGCAGAUGGUGCCUCCCUGGCAGGGCCACCAGCGGUUCCUCUGCAGCUGCCUGGCAUCCCUGGGUUUCUCUACUGCCAUUCAGGAAGUUAGUGAUGGCUUCAAGGGAAAAGAGCUUCCCAAAGACCAAGGGGACCUGCAGACAGGGUGGGACAGAAAGGGGGGCCUGGCUUCCUGGGGUCUCUGCCUUCAACUAAUGCUUGUGCCUCGUCUUUCAGAUUCAACAUGCUCCAAAGAGCCCAUGCCACCUCAGCCUAAAUGUUAAAGAAAAAUUUGUAUGUCUGCCUGAUACUUCCUUGCUAAGUACUGUGCAGAUUUUACCAUGAUUGAAGGUAUGCUCAACUAUUUCAAGGAAAGAGACAUUAUGGUAGCUACUGUUAUAUCGGGUUGUCUUGUGGUAAAAUACUGUGUUGCUUAAAUUGUUCUGUUCUGAUCUGCUUUGUUAUGUCCUCUUUUAUCUUAAUCUCUUUAAAAUAAAAAAAAUUUAAAAGAUUUUACCAUUUUUUAAAAUUUUUAACCUUAACUACUCUUAUUCCAAAGGAAUAAGCACUUUCUACAACUGUUGACCAUUGUAAAAUAUAGGAUAUACAAAUCACAUUGAAAAUAAUGACCUGUAAGCGCCUGCCUUGCAAACAUGCAGUUUUGAGUUCAAUCCCCAGUACGGAAAAAAAAAAAAAUGACCUGGAAUAAAACAUCUCAACUGCUGCUUGAUUCUGGAUUCUGAUUGGUUAGUCAUAUUUCAUGUAAUGUUUCUCCAAGUUAGAAUCUGGUGCAAGGCCAACUGGGAAACCGUGAAAUUGUUUAAAAGUGCAAACUGACAGUGCACAUAAUUAAUUUACAGACUUAUUUAAAAGUUUACAAGCUCUCAACCAGACUUUGAGGGAAGUCUGUUUUCUGUGAUGUCUGAUUGUGGACACUAAUUUGCUUCCUAUUUUUGUUGUGUUCUAGAUUUGAAAACAUAUUUUAUAGACAAGUUCUGUUUAUUAACUUUCUGGGACUUUUUCAAUUAACUUACCACUUAUGAUGAGUAUUCACAUAAUGAAUGUAUAGUCCAAACAUCUGUAAAGCUCACAGUAUGUUUUUAUUAUGUAACACUUUUUUAUACCGUGUCUCAUCACUUGUGUGAUAUUAGAGUCUGAGUUGUCAGCUUGGGUGCCUUAAAGUUUCUAGUGAUUUUAUUUUAAUAUGGAUAUGCUAUCCAAGUGUGCCACACUCAAAACUCACUGGCCCUGCAUCAGGAGAUGGAGUGGGGAAAACUGCAUUUAAUACAGAUGGAAAGUGUUUCUAUGUGAAUAAAUUGUAUGGCUUAGACAGUUUGUGUUGUUCAGAGAUGUGUAAAGUUUGAUCUUUGUUUUAUGAAGUACUUAAAAAGCACUUGUCCCUGUAAAUACACAGCGUGUACAAUCUGUAGAGCACACGAAUGGCAGGAAAUUAAACACUUUGUGCCAUUUGUUACUUGUUUUCCCCAUUUGCUUCCAGCCAUGUCUUCUCUGACUUUGAGUUCACUUUCCUCAAACCUCCACAGCUCUGGCUGGCGUCUCAGGAGGUGCCUCAGACCUCAGAGGUGGGUCAGGGAGAACCAGCAGUGGUCUGCUGGACCCAACACGUGUCUGUUUUAAAGAAGCAAGUCUUAGACAACCUUGUUUUGACAACAUGAGAUUUAGUGAGGACAGUAUUGCAAGUUUAAGUGUACACACUCGUCAGUUGUACUGUUCAUUUUGCAAUGAAAUAUCAGUAGAUAUUUUGAUAUCAGUAGAAAAUGCAUACAAGUUGUAGGGCGUAUAUACAUUGAGUAACAAAACACCCCACCAAUCACUAUAUGCACAUUAUUUGUAUAUUAUCUAUAUUUAGGUAAUAGAAAUGUUUUUGAGGGAAAGAAAAAUAAGAAAAUGAGAAAUCACAACUUGUGGAUUCUGGUCUAUAAUAGACCUAACUGCUCAGCAAAGCACAUUUGCCUAGAUGUGUGCAUUUGAAACCUUCAAAAUAGGCCCUGCUUUGUGUGAAGCAUUAAAUGCUGCUUCACCUAUAAACAUCUUUGAGUCCAUUUGGUGCCACAUUAAACUACAUGAAAGUGUUUCAGGACCCCAGAGAUGUGGGGGCUUUGGGUGUGGAUCUAGGGUGAUUCCAAAUAAACCUCAAGUGAUACCCGGCACAGCAAGACAGCUGGGGCGCUGUGGAGCGGCCAUCUCCCUCCCAGUUUUCCUCCUCAGAACUGCCUGCUGCCCUUUGUCUCUGGAAGAAACUUUGCUUUGGCCAGAGUUGGGACUGAUGGAUGACUCAGGACAGAGUGCAGACCCUCAGGUGGGGAGGUGAAGAGCAUGGCUGAGCCUCACCGCCCCUGUAGUGGAGUGUGGUGGGGUCCCCACUUCUAGGUAGCCUGGUGGAGGCCAGGUACACAGCACGAUGGCAGACACACUCAGGGUUAAUACUGUCACACACACACACAAAAAAACCCUGGUGUUAGAUUAUUUCAUGGGAUGCUCUUGAUAGGGCAAGUCACUUAAUAUUCUGAGCACCAGGCCUUCUGUAUGACCGUGAAAGAUUCACCACCAGCUCACUCCAUGCUUAAAACAGAAAGCUCCACAACUGCUGAGCCAGCACUGCUGCAGUCCCUGGCAGAGCUGCACGAGGGUGACCCACAGUGUGAAGACAUUGUAGUUGGUCCAGGCCCAGGCAGCUGGGAGCCAACUUGCAUAUACACCCAUUGGUGUGACAUAAAGCUACACCAAGAUCAGCCACCCAGAGACAAAGGGCCCAGGGCUGCACAGUCUCUGCCUCAAGGCAGCUCAUGGGAAGACAUUUCUGCGUAAGUGCAUUCAGUCUGAGGUUUUCAUUCCUGGACUUGCUUUUGCAUAGGAAUACAAAAAACCUCCAAAGGCUGCAAACUCUGGGUGCAGUGGCACAGACAGGACGGGGCAGCAAGUCUGGUCAGGGGUCACCAAUCAAACAUCCCAUGUAUGGAGCUAAAGAGGGCCCAGGUGUUAAUGCAGGGGCACCCCAAAGGUACAAACAAAGCUCCCCACAGGGGAUACUGUGUCAUCCACUGCCCUCGUCCUUGUCCAGCUCUGGCAAGUUUCACUGGUAGGGCCAUCAAUCCCUCUGUUGUAUGUGGAUGUGGGCUCACCCCAGUUUAGAUUUGGAGCUCUCCACUGUUCACAGGUCCUUUAUUUCAAAAUACUAAAUGUAUGAGAAUCUCAGCACAGUAGUAAAGAGGAACAGCCUGUGUGAGUGUAUUAAAGGUGACACCCACUGUGGACUUGGGCUCUACUCAGGGGUCAGAUAGAUUUUAACCCAUGUUAGACAUCAAGAAAGUGACCCUGUUAAAGUACAUCUGUAAAUUACACAAAUCGUGAACACCGCCCUUUGUUUUAUCUGCACUACCCAUGUGAGCCUUUCACAGGUCAUAAUUUUCUGGAAAUUAAUCCACACACAGGACAAAUGUCUGUCAGAACACAGCCCUGUCUUAGGACUGUGCUGUUUCUCCAUCUGCUGUCCCCAAGGGGUCAUGCCCAUGUGCCUGUGUAGUCAAGAGGCCUAAUGUGGUCUGCGGCAGGGCCCGCCCUCACCUUCCAGAGUUCCCAGGACUCCCAGGACUCAGGUCACUACUGCUCUCAGGUUUUACUGCUUCUCAGUUUGAGUUUGAGUUAUCAGAUUAUCUACUUGAAUGCUUUUUUUUGUACACAUUGGGCUUUAUUUCAGUUAAAUACCCUUGUGAGCUUGGCUAAUAGCCAGCUUCCGAAUUGGGCUCUGCUUCAGUGUGACACUGGGGGACUGGAAAACCAGACAAUAUUUGCCUAGGGAAAGGGGCAGAUGUAAGUGAAUUUUUUUUAAGAGUUUGGGUUUUGUGUUUGAUUUUUGUUUUUUUGGUACUGGGAAUCAAACUUAGGACCUUGCAAUUUCCAAGCGGGUGCUAUGCAACUGAGUUAUAUUCCUGGCCCUGUUUUUUUUUUUUUUUUAAGAUAACAACAAAUUUACAUAUUUAAGAAAGCACCAACAGGCCAAACACCAUUUGUCUGUGAACCAGCUGUCCCCUGUGUCGUCACAGGGCUUCAGUGGUAGUCAUGGAACUUAGAGCAACAGAGCUGCACGAGUACAAUGCUGAGGCAUCACUGGGCCUCACAUGCAGUACUGAAGCCCUUUGUUUUAUCUGCACUACCCAUUUUUGGGAUACAAAAAACCUCCAAAGACUGCAAACUGGGUGCAGUGGCACAGACAGGACGGGGCAGCAAGUCUGGCCAGGGUUCACCAAUCAAACAUCCCAUGUAUGGAGCUAACGAGGGCCCAGGUGUUAAUGCAGGGGCACCCCAAAGGUAAAGUGAAGUCCUUUGGUAAAUGGCUCAUCAAUUAAAAUGUAUUCCAAGUCCCUCUCACCUUGAACAAAGAAUCGAACGAGACAAGGGGAAAAUGUGCCAAAAGUUUAUUUGAAGAAGUAAAAUGAAGAGUGAUUUUUUCCAGCUAUACCACUUCUAGGCAUUUUCCCAAAAGGACUGAAAACAUCAUACCACUGUGAUACAUAUGCUCCCAUGUGUAUAGCAGCACAAUUUGUAACUGCCAGAUCUUUCCUUCUGCUCAUGUGCUUUCUCCCUUGAUUGGAGGCCAGCACACUGGCCUUAUUCUCUGUGCAUAGUGGUAGUCUUCCAGGAAAGCCAGCCUAAAAGAACACCCAUGACCCUGUGCUAGCAGGGCUGUGUUCUGACAGACAUUUGUCCUGUGUGUGGAUUAACUUCGAGAAAAUUAUGACCCGUGAAAGGCUCACAUGGGUACAGCAGAUAAAACAAAGGGCAGCGUUCAUGAUUUGUGUAAUUUACAGUCACAAGAGCAAGGGGGACAGGCUGUGGGCCAGAGAAGACCCUGAACCUGGAGUGCUGACCUGGCUGAGGCUUUCUUCCUUGCAGAAUUCACUUCACUGGAAUGGGAUUGGGCCGGUGAAGUGAUUUAGGAAAUGGUGGUGAACUUCAUGCACCCCAUAAGCCAAGCUUGGUGUUGGCCAUUAGGGAGGAGAGGAAUGAAGGCAAAAAGAAACCCAAGCCACCCUGCUAUGUGGUGCGGAGACAGAGGUGUGUUCCCCCAGGACAAGCCGCAGGGAAGGGAGGUAGGGAUACGGUGGUGACAAUUGCAGUGUUAGAGAGCACAGGAGUCUUCCCAGGUCUCUCCACCUGGCUCCUGUUGUGGUCUCUGGAUAGGAGACCCCUUCUCUAGGGCUACGUGCAGUCUGGCCUCCCCAAGCAGCUAUGGUCUUGGGAGUGCUGCCCAGGCUGAUGAUCUCCUGAAAUAGAGGCAAUCCAUCCAUGCUUCCCAGGGAGAUGACCUAGCUCUUUCUUGGCUGUGCCCAUGACCAGCAGCCUGCUUUCUUUUCCAACUACCUGGUCAAUAAUGUGGAGGAAAAAACCAGCUUCCUAAACUAGGCAUAGUCUUCUUCCUUUAUGGCAGAACUUUGCCAAGAUUCCUAGUUCCACAAGCAGUUCAUUAGCUGCAUGCACUGAGACACUGGGAUGUUCCUGGCAGAGUGUGUGGAGGUGGGCAGUCUGCUCGAAUGGGAUGUGAGAGAGAGAGCUCAGCUGAGAAGAGAGGAGGAGUAGUUUUGCGGUGACUGGGGACUAGAAAGAAUUGCAGGCUGAACAGGGGGUGAUGUCCUUGGGGGUCUUCAUCCUUUUAGAGACCUGCUUUUCUUUCCAGAUCCAAUUUUAUGAUCCUGAACUCAGUGUGGCAGUGAGAUCACAACCUUGCAUUGUAAGGAAUCUGGACCCCUGAAGACCCUGGCCUGAGGGCAGAUCUUUUGCAUCCCUGGGGUACACCACUGCACGGGGUUCUGUCAAUCUGGCAAGCUCAGGAAACUCAGUCAAGGACCAGUUUUCACAACUCUCAUCCACCUUCUACACACCAUGGUCCCCUGCACAAGGCUGUCCGCCCUCUUUCCUGAGACAGGAGAUGGGCGUGGCUUAGACUGGCUUGGAUCCGAGAGUCUGCAUAGCACCACCUCUCAGGACCCUGUGUGUAGAACUUCUCGUGGGUUCCCAUGAAAUGUGGAUGACGUGUAAGGACACGGACACCAGGAGGAGCCACGUCUCUUUCACAGUAGCCCACCCUGUAUCUAUCUCCCAGAGCGUACUUUUAUUUUUGCUUGUCUCUUUGUCCCCCUUGUUCAUCCCAAGUUUGCUCCACAGAGCCAUUUGCUCCCUUACCCCUUCACCCAUCACUCUUCAUUUUACUUCUUCAAAUAAACUUUUGGCACAUUUUC